rnacentral:lncRNA from 1 species
UGCAUGUGUAGUACAGUCAUGAUCUGGAUAUCCGCCUAAGACAUUUUAGUAGAUUUAUUGAAGGUAAAUACUUAUUUAUAAACGUUCGAAACUAAAAAGAAAUGUAAUAAUACGAGCUGCUGCUCAAGUUGAAAAAAAAGGAUUUGUUUCAAUAAUUUUCAUUUGAAAUUGUUAUUAACUUCAUUAUUCUGUUAUUAUUGCUGUGUGUUUACAUUCUAGUCAUUCAAUGCAGUAAUAGUUACUCGUGAGAAUAGUUAUCCCAUGAGGACACAACUAGUUCGAAAGGGAUAACUAUUUUACAUCUCAGCUGUUUUAGAUAAGACGAAAAACCAUUUACAAUUCAUAAAAUCUAGUUAAGAACGCCACACAACCAUUAUAAUAUACUUUAUAUAUUACUAUAUAAUGUCUACCCUUUCUGACCCCCGAACACGAUGAUUAAAUAUGAAACAAUGUAAACUCGCGCCACUGGCAAAUCGGCCCACACUAGAUCGCCACUUUAAAAAAAGUCGCCUUAGUUUUGUUUAUGACUCGCCCCACUUUUGAAAAAGCGUAAAAUCGAAUCGAACAAUCAGUCUGACAACAUGUACUUAUUUACGAAAAGGGUUUAAACUCCACUGAAUAAAGGUCUGCCAAAUCGCCCCUCUUAUAAAAAUAUCUUGCUUCUUUUAAGUAUGUGAAUUUACUGAUAGUUUGUACCCAGUCGUCCUGGUGUAGUGAUAUGUGUCGUUGGUUGAUAUGCUAAAGGUCUUGAGUUCGAAUCUCAGCAUAGAUACUGGAUUUUUUCUGCGUAAAUUUUGAUAGAUAGUCUUUUCCGUAUAAUUAAUUAUAAGUUUUAUAGUGGAUUUGACAUUCCCGCCAAACUGUUACAGAACAAAGGAGUGCAAAACAAAGAAACUCAAGCUGAAUUGAUCAGGUAUGGGUGAUCCGGCUCAGAUCACCCCUGGUAGAACAAAGAAGCUGCGAUGUGAAUUGAAAAACACAGGGUAUCUAUCUGUGACAAAAAAUCAGUUCGUCCAUAAAAAAAACCCCACAAAAGCAAAGUAACAACGAUUUUAUUGCUGUUUUCCGUCUCAAAGUAUAUUGCUACAUUGUAUAUAAAAAGAGUAUCACCAUAACUCUAUACAAGGUUAUUCUAUCUUAAUUUCUUAUCCUAUUUGAGACAUUCUUAUUUCCAAGUCAUAUGUUGCCAUUGCAUGAUCUAUUCAUCUCACUUAUUCAUUAACUUUUUUCUACUUGCUAAAUAACUUUUCGAAAUGUCACGAAGGCACGAAUACUAACACAAAUAGAUAUACGUCAAGUUGGUUACAUAUUUCUUAUUCCUAAAUAGACAGUAUGAAUAUAUGAUGCAACUUUCACAUUCACGUCUUGAUUUUUUGGAAAGAAACACUAAUCGUUUGAAGUGUGUCACAUGCACUGAUAGUUACCUGCUUUCAUUGUCAUGGAAAGGGAAAAAAGUGUAUAUAUCCAAUAAUCCAUCAUAAUUUUGUUUCCAUUCUGAAAAUAUAUACAUAUAUUUUGGUAAGUUUAUUAAUAAAAGUCUUAACAUUUUAUAACGUACAAUGUAACAUUAUUAUGAAAUUGAUCACAUGCAUAAUAUCAGAUAUAGAGACAUUUAUGAUAUGUUAUUUACAUAACAAAGAUAUAAGAUAUUCUGUAAAUUCGUUUUUUCCCCUGUUAAUCUACGUUUUAGGGUUAUUCUGCAGUAAAUGUAAUUUUGUACUAAAAAAUUAUAAAAUCACUUGCAACCUUCACAUUCACUUACAAGUGCGGAUAUGGAGGAAGUAUAGAUUAUAUGUCCAUUAAAUGUAGUUGUCAAUCUCUUAGCUAUAGCUUAUAUUAUUCGUCUCCUUACGUUUAAUUUUUAUUUGCAUUUACAUAGUUCACUUUAUUUAACGCACCCGUUCUCCGUUAAAUUUUCUAUUAAAAAUCAAAAUUAACAUGCAUAGGCUAUGACAGAGAUGGUUCAAAUUAGCAAUUUUUGUUGUUGUAAAUUUGAUACGAUUACAUUAGAAGUUUUAGAUUAGUAAUACCAUUGUUGAAAAAGUAAAAACAUUUAGAAUAAAUCCAAAGACAGAUUAAUAACCAAUUGUUGAGAGAACAAAUGAAGGUAUUUCCACCCAAAACCAUGUAUUUUGAUGUUCACCGUUAAAUUUUCUAUUAAAUUUUCUAUUAAAUAUUUCUAUAAAUCUCAAAAUUAUCAUGCAUAGGCUAUGACAGCAAUGGUUCAAAUUAGCAAUGUUGUUGUAAAUUUGAUACGAUUACAUUAGAAUUUUUAGAUUAGUAAUACCAUUGUUGAAAAAGUUAAAAAUUUAGAAUAAAUCCAAAGACAAAUUAAAAACCAAUUGUUGAGAGAACAAAUGAAGGUCUUUACACCAAACCAAAAACCAUGUAUUUUGAUAUGAAAGUAGUAACAUUAGGUUUAACAUGUCAUUUUCCAGCGUCAAAUGAUAGCUUAUUGUACGCUGAUUCCCAAAAUAUAUGGUUUUUAUACAAUAUUUUUUAAAUAAGGGAGAUAAUUUGUUACUUCCGGUUUGAAAAAUGUUAUUUCCGAUAUUAUUUGAAUGUUUAGUUGACACUUAUUCCAAACAUAUCUGGUCCUAUAUACUUUUAUAUGAUAGAGUACAAAAAAAUCUACUUCCGGUUUACAAAAGGUCACUUCUGAUGUUUUUUUCAAGGUUAAAUGGCUUGAAACCUAAUGCAAAAAGUCCCAUGGCUUUAUCAUGUAUACAUAUGAGGUCAAUUUUACCUAUGAUCUUGAGCUCAAUUUUAGGUAAUCAAUCAAGGACCUCAAAUCAAAAGACCCUUGGUCUUAAUUAUAUUUGGUUCAUGAGCUAUUUCACCAUAUGCAUAUUUUUAAAUAAAAGAGGGGAGAAAACUCUAAUUAGAUGUUAGCGUAGCCUUUAAACCAAUAUGUAUGUGUUACGACAUGUCGCAACUAACAAUUGAGUAAAAAUAUGUUGUCAAUAUCUAAUAUCGACGUGUUUAAAAAGAGGUGAAUAAGCCAAAAUCAAAAAAUUUAAAAAUGACCUUGACCUUUGACCAUGACCCUAUUUUUUUUUUACCAAGGACCUCAAAUAGACCCUAGGUCUCAAUCACUUAUGGUUUACCAAUUUCGAUUUCAUUUUACUUUUCUUUAAUACAGAAGGGGAAAUAACUCUCAUAUGGUUUCCGGACCGCUUAGGUCAAAAUUCUUUUUAAGAUCCUCUGGAUAUAACGAGCAAAUUGGUGACAUAAAUUUGUCAUAAUCCUUCACGGUUGCGAAGGAGAUACGUACACACAAAAAUAGUGUUUAGGGAGAUAACUCUCACAAUAAAAAGUGUGCGGUUAAACAGGGUCAGCUUCAAAGUCGCCGUAGCUGUUUGGUAUCAUAUGCAAAAAAUCUAAGCGGCAUCUAGCGAAACGAAAAAGCACCGUCAGAAAAAAAGUAGCGGAAUAAGAACAAAAAAUUGAUAUACAGAAGAAAACCAAAAGAUCUUUCCACAGAAAAGUGGAAAGACCUAUUAAAUGAAAUAGAUCUACACACACAAAACCCAAAUGAUGAUUCAGCAAUGAGGAGGGGAUGGGGCUAGCCUAAAAUUGUUUGUUUUUGUGUAACGAAUGAAGCUUCAAUUAUUGAUAAUUUAUGCAUGUUGUUACAUGAACAAUAUUAAUCGAUUAAACAUAUAUAACGAUCUACAAGAGCAAUCGAAGUUCAAGAGUGGUGAUGGUUUAUCAUUAAUUUAGAAAAAUCCUUAAUUACUGUCAUACAGGCAAUCAAGACUUUGUAUUUACAUGUAUGCAAAUAUCGUUCCAUAAAGUGUAAAAUCAGAUAGCCAUUUUUCUAGUUAUCUUAUCAAUUAAUUAAAACAGGUUGAAAUGAAGAAUGUCAGUAACUGCUAGUAGUUAAUCUUAGUUUCUUUUGUAACCCAUCCUGACAUCGGGCUGAGUUUUACAGUGCGUAUUGCUAUGCGUUUCUUUAUUCUACAUUUUUUUAUGUGCAUUGGCUAGAGGUAUAGGGGAGGGUUAAGAACUCACAAAACAUGUUUAAACCUGGCCUUUGUAAGUCUCGUUUUUUUUUUUAUAUUUAGUUCAUUAAUAUGUUUUUGAGUUUAGUGUGACGUCCAUUGUCACUGAACUUGUACACGGUUUUAUUUAGCCUAAGGGGUUAACAGCUGAGGACCACCUUCGGUGCGGGAUUUUCUCGCUGUGUUGAGUAACCGUUGGGGUCUACGGCCGUAGUCUGCUCUUUGGUCGGAGAGUUGUCUCUUUGACAUAUUCCCCAUUUCCAUUCUCAAUUUAAUGCAAAAACACUUACAAAGACAACGAUACAUCAUUGCGUAACGCAAACUUAUCUUAUUAAAUAGCUAGGAUCCAUUUAAACCUAUGCCUUAUGGUAAUCAAUUUAAAACUGUAGUAAAACUUAUGAAUAUACAUAUUGGGUACUCUCAGAUAUUCUAAAUUCCGAUACCAAUUUAUGAAUAAUUAUGGAACUACAUCAUUACUAUGCACUUAUGUUUUAUCAUUGCGCAAUGUCGUGUUCUUUUCGUGUACUUUUACGACGCCAUUUCAAUAAAUCCGUUAGAUGUAUUCUGAUAAAUACUGUAGUCUGGGAGAACACGAUUUAUUCAGUAAUUCAAGUUAUUAUCAACUUUGAGGUAGCUUUCAAUCUUCGGUACUAUGUCUUUAUUUCAAUACUAGGUGUUUGUUGAUUGGUGCCAAUUUGACGAAUCAGGUAAUUUCCUUGACCAGUUAAUUUCAAUACGGAUUGUGCUUAUGUUGCGUUAUUACAUCACCAUCCAAGUUAAGAGGAGAGUCCAAAAACACAUGUAACCUCGCCAUAUUAGUUAGGUGUCAGGAGCCUGUUAUUUAGUGGUUGUCGUUAAAGUCUGUUACAUACUUGUUUCGUAAAAAAUCUGGCGCUACGUUUUCUCGUUUUACGUUUCUUUUGUGGAAGGGACUUUACAUACACCAGCUGCCACAAUUGUACGGUAUGGGGUUAUUUCAUCUGUUUUAUUUUGGUAUCGGUUGGAUAGUUGUCUCAUUGGUAAUUAUAUCACGUCUUCUCAUGUCUAUGUACAUACACAUACAUAAUAAUCAGACAAUGACUGGAUUAUGCCAAUCCUUGUAUCUAAAUCUACAAAGUAGGACAGUUCUUAUAACAAGAUUUAAUUUAUAUCUACAAUUCUUUACUUCUGCUAUCUAUAAACCCUGGAGUAAUGUACAAAUGUAUACACAAUGGUAAAUAAUCUUAGUUCUAUCGAUACAUUAAAAAAAGGUUCCGACAGAAUUAAAUGUUUUAUUAAUUUAAUUUAAAGUUUUUUAUGAUUCUAUUUUUGAGAAUGCGUUUGAGUAAGAUGAAUUUUAUGAAUUUUUAUUUAUCAUUAGAUAUCUUAAAUAAUUCACCAAAUUCAGUAUAGUUUUCAGGUUUUCGUUUUCCGAGAUUUUAUAAAAACAAUCUUAGUUUUUGACUAAAAAUAGCCAGUUUUGCUAUUAAAUCUUCGAUGUAAUCUUUUUGAGAUACAUUUUAUAAAUCUUCAGUUUCCGCUUUUUUGAGAUACAAUCUUUAUUUUUGUUGAACUUACUUAUUUUAAUCAUAAAGGUGUGUAAGGUUCCGUAUAUAAUUAAAAUAGUCAUGUGUCAAAUAUAGAGUUAUUCAUGUACGGGGGUAAAAGAUAAGACUCUAUCGAUAACAUAAAUAUUAGAAUUUUCAAGUUUUUAAAGAUUUCGGUAUUAAAAGUACCGCUGGUCACAAAGCGCAAAAGGGUUUUUUGUUGCAAUUUCAUUGAUGUUUUUAGACUUUCCUACAAAGAUUGAUUGGCCACCGAUUUAACAUACAGGUACAGGUUUCAAGGAAAAAAUAUGGAAGCAAACUUUUUAAACAAAUACCUUGUCGACAAAUAGAUAUGUCUCGUCUGAUGUAAUUUUAUUGUAAAAAGCAAAUUUUAAAUUAUAAUUACACCUUAUGUAAGAAUCCUGGGUUUGGAUUGGUUGACAGCCAGUGUUUUUUUCACCAUUUCACUCUUACCAAAUGAAUAUCGUUUAUUUUUUAACUUCGCCGGGGUAUUUGCAAAAAGAAUAUGCCUUUUUUACCCUCUCUUCCGUCUGAUGUAAUUUUAUUGUAAAAAGCAAAUUUUAAACAGAUAUAUCAUGUCAAGGAGGGGUAUUUGUGAAAAAUACCAGUCGAGAGAAUGUUAAAUUUCGCGAGCCGUAAGGCGAACGAAAUACAUUCUCAAGACUGGUAUUUUUCGCAAAUACCCCUCAAGAACAUGAUACAUGUAUAUCUGUGUAAUUACACCGAAUGUUAAUGUACUAAAACGCAUUGAUGAUCGUGACGUUACAAGCGUCCAGUCGGAUAGAGUAUUUUUUGGCAAAUACCACGGCAGAGAGGGUAAAAAAGGCAUAUCCUUUUAGCAAAUACCCCGGCGGCGUUAAAAAUGAACGAUAUUCAUUUGAUAACAGUAAAUUGGUGAAAAAUACACUGGCUAUUAACCAAUCAAAACCCCGGAUUCUUACAUAAGGUGUAAUUAUUUGGCAAAUACCACGGCAGAGAGGGUAAAUAAGGCAUAUCCUUUUGGCAAAUAUCCCGGCGGCGUUAAAAAAUGAACGAUAUUCAUUUGAUAAAUAAUUACACCUUAUUUUAAAAUUUCUGGGUUUUGAUUGGUUGAUAGUCAGUGUAUUUUUCACCAAUUUACUGUUAUCAAAUGAAUAUCGUUUAUUUUUUAAUGCCGCCGGGCUAUUUGCAAAAACGAAUAUGCCUUUUUUACCCUAUCUGCCGUGGUAUUUGCCAACAAAAACUCUAUCCGACUGGACGCUUGUAACGACGAUCAUCAAUGCGUUUUUCAACGUUAACAUUCGGUGUAAUUUUAAAAACAGAUAUAGCAUGUUCUUGAGGGGUAUUUGCGAAAAAUACCAGUCUUGAGAAUGAAUUUCGCCUUACGGCUCGUGAAAUUUUACAUUCUCUCGACUAGUAUUUUUCGCAAAUACCCCUCCUUAACAUGAUGUAUCUGUUCAAAAUUGCAUUUACUUUAACAUAUAAUCGUUGCAAAACAUUAAAUGUCAACAAACCGUGACCGAAAUUACACUGUCAAAUUAUCUACAUGAGAUAUCCAAAUGCUAUAACAAUUGCAUACCUAAGAUCAGUGACCAUUUUAAUUACUUUGGGUGGAUCUCCUUAAACUAACAUUAUUUAAAACUAUAACAUUUAAACUAGGCAAAAAUGUCAUAGUCGAUAGGACAAAACUAAGGGGGGCAAGACAAAACAACCUUCAGGAAAAAGUUAUGUGCCAAUGAGCAAAAAUAGGGGGCAAGACAAACCAACCUUCAGGAAAAAGUGUGCCAAUGAGCAAAAAUAAGGGGCAAGACAAAACAACCUUCAGGAAAAAGUGUGCCAAUGAGCAAAAAUAAGGGGCAAGACAAAACAACCUUCAGGAAAAAGUGUGCCAAUAAGCAAAAAUAGGGGGCAAGACAAAACAACCUUCAGGAAAAAGUUAUGUGCCAAUGAGCAAAAAUAAGGGGCAAGACAAACCAACCUUCAGGAAAAAGUGUGCCAAUAAGCAAAAAUAGGGGGCAAGACAAAACAACCUUCAGGAAAAAGAUAUGUGCCAAUAAGCAAAAAUAGGGGGCAAGACAAAACAACCUUCAGGAAAAAGAUAUGUGCCAAUAAGCAAAAAUAGGGGGCAAGACAAAACAACCUUCAGGAAAAAGAUAUGUGCCAAUGAGCAAAAAUAGGGGGCAAAUCAAAACAACCUUCUGGAAAAAGAUAUGUGCCAAUGAGCAAAAAUAGGGGGGGGGGGGGCAAGACAAAACAACCUUCAGGAAAAAGAUAUGUGCCAAUGAGCAAAAAUAGGGGGGCAAGACAAAACAACCUUCAGGAAAAAGAAAUGUGCCAAUGAUAAAAAAAACAUUCAAAUCAAAUAUCAUUGACAUACCAUUAGUGGUUUCCCUUAAAUAAACCGUAACAAAAACUUUAACAAAUUAUUGUCGUCACCGCAUCUCAUAACAUAUUGAAGCACCAGGCACUACAAUUAAGCCUAGUUUCUUAAUAACUGACUCGUUAUCACACCUGUAUCAUAACGUUUACGGAUAAGCUCCCUUGUAUCUUCGAUGAGCUAUUACUCGACGCUGAUGUUGACAAGUUAGACUCUAAAAGAGGGGAUUGUCAUCAGUGGCUGAUCCAAGGGGGUGGGGGUCGUUGACGUUCAAUGCAUUUGAAUUGAAUAGGGUUAUGAUUGAUCCCCCACCCCCUCUUAUAAAAAUGACUGAAUUCGACCCUGGUCAUCUAUUAUCGAUUUGAUGUUGACCAAGUGUUUAUCAAUGUUAGUAUCAUUGCAAGAUGGACUGAGAGAUUGAUGUUAAUGCAAAUUAAGGAAAUUAAGAGACAAAGACAAAUACGAGGGAUAAUGUAAGCUAACGUCAUACAAUUUUAUGUCAUGUAGCGGGAGUACACUUUAAAUAUCCGUGCAAUCAAUCUUUGAUCCGUAAAGGUCCGUAGUUAGACUGUUGCAAGGGUAAGGUUCUCUCCUCAUCAAAUGUAUCACCAUUUUCAAGUGGCAUUCUAAUUUUGUCGCUUUUUAUCUGGGUUGAACCCAUUUUAGGACUUACCUAUUGUAUUAAUUGUUAAUAUGUUCUCGUCCAAUAUUUGCAACUUGACAUUAUGUAAGCAAGAAUAAAUCAAUCAAUUUGUUUAAUGUAUAUUGGAAAAAGUAGCAAUGCAGAUAUAUAUAAUCACUUGUAGUAAUUACAAAAAAACAUUGAAUUCGAUAUUAUUUGAAUAGUCUAAUAAAGUUAAACAAAUCUUCAGAAUUGAAUCCGUAAAAGGAGAUUAAUACCAACUAAAUGGAAUGAAAUUAAACAUGGCAUGGACGUUCCCUUUGAAGUGCUGACCAAGUGUUGUUUCUUUGAAGACGAUAAUCAUCCAAGAUGGACACCAGCGGUGGACUUUGUUUAAAAAUAAGACCCUAGGGACCAUACAUACCAAUGUAUUCUUUUUGAGCAACACUGAAUGGAAUGAAACCAAUCCGAGCAUGAAUGUUCCUAAUGAGGUGCUGACCAAGUCAUGUUCAAUGUGUGCAUAGUUUCGCAGACCUAGUUUUAAACCUGUAGAAGGGGUUUAUUGCAAAAAUAGGCACCAUUUCCCGCUCGUCAACACGUUUACCCACCAAUCGCCCUACAACAAUACAAACUUUCAUCAUAUAAAAUUCAUUGAGACCGUUCUACAUAAUGCGCAACCCAAUUGAAAAGAUCUCACCCGGAGAAAGACCCACUCAAAUUACAACUUAAGCCUCAGUCUAUUGAUUUUAAAAAUGUAAAAAUAAAAUAUACCAAGUAUAUUAAGCUUUCAAUUGAAAAUGGAGGACAGAUGAUUUCUUUUUCUUUUCCAUUCAUUAUCUUUUCUCUCGGUUUUUAUUCCCUGUUUCUCCUCUACAUCAUUUCCUUUCUGCAACCUCCUUUACCCUCUGUCCGUGUUCAAAACAAAGGAAAUAUUACGAAAUUGAUGAUAGCUAUUUCUUACGUAAUAUGUUAUGGAACAUUCGUCAUACAUGUAUAAGGAAAACUUAUAAUGAAAUUGUCCAAAUAAUAUUUUCAAAGAGACGUCUGAUGUACGUACGGAACAUAAAUUCGUUGACAUCAGCACUGUGUAGUUUAAAACAAAAUUCAUUAUACACAGGCAAUUUCAAUUAAUUUCUAAAUCAUAUUUGUGUUUGAUACGAAAUUCACAUUUUAAAGUCUAACAACCGCAGCGUUGAGUAUAUCAAAAUGAAAAUUAAAGGCGAAUGAUACCAGAGGGUCAUUCAAACCCACAUGUAGAUAAUAAACUGACAACGCAAUGAACAAACUUCCCAAAUAAACAGACAAACAAUAGUACACAAAACACAACAUAGAAAACUAAAUACUGAGUAAUACAAUGUACGAACCCCACCAAAAACUUGGGGUGAUCUCAGGUGCUCCAGAAGGAUAACAAACCCUGUUCCACAUGUUGCACCAAUCGUGUUAAUCAUGUUUAUUCCAACCCGAUAUUUAGUCUUAUUCGGAAGGUUACAUUCGGGAAAAGAGGACAGGAUCGUUGUUCCGUCAUGAGCAUAUAUGCUAUCAUCUUUUGAAACGCAUAUUCCUUAACGACCAACCAACUCGCGAUGUCGUCCGUAAGACUUACGAAGAGAUGAUUCCAGAUAAUUAUAUAAUAACUUUAAAAUAAAAAAAAACAAAACAAAACAAAACAAAAAAAAAAAAAAAAAACAACCUACCAGUUAUUGAUACAAAUUUUCCAAUUUUCGCUUUACAAAUUUUUCGAUUGAAAAUAGACUAAAAACAAGAGAAUAACAAAAUAUGAAAUGAUAAGGAACUAUUAAUGAAAACCAGUUUUAAUAUUAAUUUCCAUAAACUGUCAAUAAAGUUUUCCUCUUUCGCUAUCAUUAUUUGCAAUGGUCCAUUGUUCUUUUCACAAUCAAAGGAUAGUACUCUUAUAAAAUUGUUACAAAUAUAGAACAACCGGAAGAAGGGCCUUUUGUUCAUUUAUAGUUUAUACUUCGGUGAUACAUUUAAGAUUUUUUUCUGAGUUAUAUUUUAUACAAUGAUUAUUGUAUUUUGCCGAAUAUUAGUAACAAGUAAUUAUAUCGUGUUAUUUCGGCAUUAUAAAUAAAUCAUUUUAUAAUUAAUUUUAUAAAUUUCCCGUUACAAAACUUUGAAUUUUUCGAAAAAAAACAAGGAUUUUCUUAUCCCAGGAAUAGAUUACCUAAUCCGUAUUUGGCACAACUUUUUGGAAUUUUGGGUCCUCAAUUCUCUUCAACUUUGUAUUUGUUUGACUUUACAACUAUUUUGAUAUGAGCGUCACUGAGGAGUCUUAUGUCGACGAAACGCGCGUCUGGCGUAUUAAAAAUUAUAAUCCUGGUACCUUUGAUAACUAUUGCAACUCAGAAAUCAAAAAUCAUUUCGUAAAGGUUGUAACAGUAUUAAAACAUUUGACUUUUCUACUCUUUACACAAGAAUUCCACAUUCCAAACUAAAAGACAAAAUAAAAGAGUUGGUAUUACUUUGCUUCAUAAAAAAGAAUGGCCAACGUAGAUACAAGUUUCUUUGUCUUAGGAGGGAUAAUCAUACUUUGUAAGAUCACUCGAUUCACAAAAAAUUCUCUGACCGAUAUUACAGAUGCUGAUUCUGACUGACAACAUAUUUUGUAACUUCGGAGGACGGUUUUCAACAGACUGUCGCAUCCCAAUUGGAACAAAACUGUGCCCUCUACUGCCGAUUGUUCUUUAUUAUUAUGAGCUGAACUUCAUCAGAACUUCUUAGGAAGGAAGAUAAGAAGUUGCAAUAUCCUUUAACACUACUUUCCGCUAUAUAGAUGACGUUAAGUAGCAACAUUCCAGCAGCACCUGCAUAGGGGUAUAUAUCUCCCAAUUAUAUGAUAUUCCCGUGCUUGCAUUUCCUAUCAUGAUUUUCUUGAUAGAGGGUUAUUGCUCACAAAAAGCUAUUAAACCAGAGUUCAAAUGGUGAAGUUGAAAUCAUCCCUUCGUAAAUUUUACGGACGCCAUCACGAGUUGGUUGACGUUAUGGAAUAACCAUUUCACAAUAUAUCGGAUAUGUUCCUUACGUCGUAACUACAAUCCCCUUCUCUUUCAUGAAUGUGACCGACCGAAUUAGACUAUUUACCGGAUUUGUAAUCACAUAAGCACACGACGGUGCCAUGUGGAGCAGGAUCUGCUUACCCUUCCGGAGCACCUGAGAUCACCCCUAGUUUUUAGUGGGGUUCGUGUUGUUUAUUCUUUAGUUUUCUAUGUUUGUCAUGUGUACUAUUGUUUUUCUGUUUGUCUUUUUCAUUUUUAGCCAUGGCGUUGUCAGUUUGUUUUUAGAUUUAUGAGUUUGACUGUCCUUUGGUAUCUUUCGUCCCUCUUUUAUCUUUAUUUUAUUGGCCUAAAAAGGUCUGGGAGUUUAUCGAUGAUUAUGUGACCAGGGAAAAAGCAGCUUCGUUUAUCAUUUUGGACUUGAAUAUAACAUUCUCAAUUUUGGUAUUAUAGACUUUAAUUCUAUGUGUUUUAUAAUUCAUUUAAUUGCAUAUUUUCGGUUCUAUUUACAUUUCGUAUCCAGGACAUAAAAUCAACAUGCUUUAAUAUGCAUUUAAUUCUCAGUUUAGACUUGAGUGACAUGUUAUAAAAUAUACUCUGUUCUCUAAUUAGUGACAUUUUACCUUAUUCAUAAUGUAUGUUCUUACAUUUAAUUGUCAUAAUCAGAUUGUCAUUUAAUAUUUAUUCUUCAAGUUCUAAAAAUAGUUUAAUCUUGUCAGUGAACAAUAUUACUCAAAUUAAUUGUUAUUUUUUAUGUCUAUGUUCCGGACCAUAUGAGUAUUUGGACCAUACGCGUAUGGUCAUGAUCGUGACCAUAUGGGUAUAUUUCAUAUGGUCCGACCAUACGCGUAUGGUCCGACCGUACGCGUAUGGUCGGGGUUAUUAACACUCUGUACAGUUUACCUUUGAAACUCAAACUCUACAUAUGGCAUGACCGUUCAUUAAAAGACGCUAUCAUAUAGGUAAUUUAUUAUUAUAUUAUAUAAAGAUUAGCUAAAUAAUAAGUUUUCACAUAGUUAUUUUUAUUACUUGUCAAAACUAUAAUAAACAUAUUUAUACCGAUUGUCAUUACCGAUUCAUUACGAUUUAUUCGAGUAAAUGGCAAUAUGUCGACUUAAAUAUAAAUCCAAAUUCAUAUUGAACUGUUACACAAGAUUUCACUAGAAAGUAACAUAGUUUGUUUAAGUUGUCUUGUGAAUAUGGUGUAUUGCAGUCAUAUUACGAUAUUUGAGAUCUAGAGCUUCUUAAAAACACCGUAGACAUAUCGGAAUGGCCCGCGAACUCAGUAUCUCUGUACGCAGCUAAAAAAGGCUAGCUUUUAACUCGCAAACAAAAGGUGUAAAUCAAAAGGAUCGUGCACAACCAAGACUUGCAACUGCAAAAAAGCUAUAAUACCGCGUGGAAGUAAAUGUCACCCCAAGCCUACAUGCAAGAAUGUAAUUAGCGAUGAAAACUAACUAUUGCAUCAAUAUUUAAUUUUUACGUACAGAAUUUGAAUUAUAAAAACCAACAUUGUUUUUUUAGAUAAAGUGUUUGUAUUUUUGAAAUUUUUAUAAUGUAAUUUUAAAAAAAAAUACCUAUAUGGUCCAAAUACUCAUGUGGUCAGGCCCGUUAAUAACCGAACGAGUAUUAUGCUCAUAUGGUCGACCAUACGCGUAUGGUCGGACCAUAUGAGUAUACGCAUAUGAUCAUGACCAUACGCGUAUGGUUCAAAUACUGAUAUGGUCCGGAACAUCUAUACUUGUCAAUAAUGUUGUGUAUAAAUACGUGUUGAUUAUUUCGAUAAGCAAGAUUUGAACUCAGGACUUUACACUGAACACAGUCCAUCUGUAAUAAAAGUAUUAGUAUUCCAUGCUGAGUAUUGGUUUAUUCAUCGCUAGUUCCAGAGUCUUACAAGUUAGGUUUCACCAGUAUUGAGAGUUCUCAUUGCUAUUCACAGCAAUCGUUCGUUGUGUGAUGAGGUGCAUCACACAAUUUCCGUAACAAGAGGCCAUUAAUUCAGGCUCUUGUUAGACAACCUCACAAGUCACCCAGUUUCCCCGGUGACAAUAAUCCAGAAUUGAUUAUAAAACACAGCAAAAAUUAAACCAAUACAUAAAACUUUACCUAGCUAAAGUACACCUUAAAGUCUCUGAGAAUCCUGAUACGCGUAAUUCACGGGUAUCAUUCAGUUUGUUGAGAGAAAUGACCUUGAGAGGAUAACUAACGGUGGCCAAGCAUUGUGGUAUAGAAUCGUGAAUGAAAUAUUAUCGAGAAUAAACUCGCUCCAUCAGGAAAUAAUCUGUUUAAAUCGUUAUGACAAAUAUUGGAAAAAUAAAACUGUAUGUCAAAAUGGUUAGUAUCCCUGAAAAAUCUAGAACCAAAAGAAAUAAAAAUGUAAACAAACAGAACUUUUUUUUAUGCAUAAACUUCUUUUCUCCUAGAAAUAUCGUUCAAAAUUGCUGUUUGAAAUAGUUCUAAAAGUUAUUUUGAUUAAGUUUAUUCAGAAACAUUGCAAAAAAUAUAAUAUGUUUAAACACAGCUAUUGUACGUUAAGCUGUGUUGUAUGUCUGUGAUGUAUACGCUGAUGGAUGCCAAAUAUGACCACGUGCUCAUGACUUUCUAAAGCGGUGUCCACGACCUUUAAGGUCUGGAGCGCAUCACUUUUAAACUGUUGGGCAUGACUAUCAAAAUGACCUUUAAACUGGCGCGCCCGACAUUCAAAUAUGGUGUGCAAGACUUUAAAAAACUGGCGCACAUAGCUUUCAGACUUGUUCGUAUGACUUUCAAUUAAACUUGCGUUCAUUUAAACUGUUUCGCAUUACUUUCAAACUGACGUGCACGACUUUCAAAUUGGUGCACACGACAUUUAAACCCGUUUCAACCAGUUUAAAAGUAGAGCAAACCAAAUUUGAAAGUUAUGAGCACCAUUUUUAAAAUGUCUUUUGAACGACCUUUCAAACUAAUGCACACCAGCUUAAAUGUUCGGCAAACGUGAUUAGUUCUAUAUGUACUUGGCACUUAUUAGGCUUCUCUCAUAUAACAUAUACACUUACCCGAAAAAUUUAAUAAAAAUUAAAAUACAUAUACAAGGGUAUACGCUACAGACCUUGUGUUUACGAUUUUAGCAUUUCAGAAUGGUUUACAGAUAUAUAUAUGUUCCAGACCAUAUGAGUAUUUGGACCGUACGCGUACGGUCCGGACCGUAUACGUAUACUCGUACGGUCCGACCAUACGCGUACGGUCGGACCGUAUGAGUAUACGCGUAUGGUCCAGUACGAGCUGACCAUACAUGUUAUUAGAUCAUAUGGGUUAAAUUUAAAAAAAUUAACAUUAAUCACAAUCUUUAUUUUCAGAUUUACUAAUUUAAUAUUAUUACAACUACACGGAUAAAAUGAACAAAUGAACAAUUGAAAUUAAAUAUUUGUUUAAUUGUAUAUCUUGAUCCUAAUUUUGGUAUCAACCAAUGUUACACUUGCUACCACAAGUAACGUACUAAUGUUUUUUACAUUUACAUUUUUGCAGUUCGUGUAUGUUCCUUAGCAAAAAUAUUUUUUGGUAAAGAUGCUAUAUAUUCUAAAACAAUUGUCCUCCCACAUUAUAUUUACUUCCGAUAUUUUCAAUUUUAGUGAUCAUAAUUCAAUUAUUUUACUGAGUGAUUGACAUGUUAAAUACAAGAGAUUAACAGAUUCAAUUAGCGUUAUUUUAAAUCAUUAAAAUAACUAGUUGUUUUUUUUCAAUUACAAUUAAACUUUGUUAUAUCUAUUUGAGAGUUAAGUUAUAUUGAUCUGUUAUAUGGAUCUAAUUAACUUUGACAACUUCUUAAUAAUAGUCAGACCGUACGCGUACGGUCGGACCGUAUGAGUAUUUGAAAAAAGUACGCAUACGGUCCAGACCGUACGCGUACGGUCCAAAUUCUCAUACGGUCUGGAACAUAUACAUACAAGCAAUAAUAUAAAAAAAUAUUUAUCCUCAGUGUUUGUUGUGAUUCAUAUAAUUUUAUUCUAUAUGUCAUUUUAUUUUUAAAUGCUCAACGUGUAUGGACAAUUUAAAUUAUUGUAUAUUUCUAUACACUUAUUAUUAAAGAUACAAUGGUUAAUUAUUUAAAGAAAAACUAAUUUUGUAGUUAUUGCAAAUCAUAUAUAGUAUUCUCAUGUUUCUUUAUUACACAGGUAAUAGAGCUCAAACCGAAAUGAAAAGACUGACAGGUAAGGAGGACCGAAGUAAUGGUAAUUUGUAAAUAACUAACUAGAAUUCAUCUUUAAUUCCUAAUUUGUUGGAAAUAAUGCGGAAAAAUUAAUCGUCUUCUGUUUGCCGCUAUGUAUUUUUUUCCCUUUCCAAAGAAUCCCUUACUAUAUAAGUUUAUUUAAAAGCCCCGUGAUAGGUUUUUGUUUGCAACCUAAUAGUCUAAGAAACCUGUUGGUGCGGGUUGAAUAAUCAGAGUUUAAGUUUAAGUUUAAGUCCAGAAAGCUCAAUAUGUUCUAUUCUUUACAUAAUGGGACUGCCCCUGAUUAUCUCUGUGAUUUAAUGCCCACACUUGUUGGUCAAGUAUCUAACUACGAUUUGCGAAUCAGUAAUACUUAUGUAGUACCCGGUUAUAGACUAGACAUAACUAGAAAAUCCUUUUCCCCAUCCACUACUAUUGAAUGAAAUAGCCUUAACCCCGACAUACGUACGUCCAAAAAUAUAAAUAUUUAAAAAAAAAAGAUGAAGUCCAAAUUGAUACAGCCACCUUCCUAUUUUAGUUGUUUGGAUAGAAAACUUAAUAUAAUUCAUACACGUUUGAGAAAUAUGUGCAGCUCUUUAAAUUCAGAUUUACAUCGUGUUAAUAUUAAACCUAGUUCCGCAUGCAGCUGUGGCCACUCUGUGAGGAUAGUAUACACUAUUUUUUAGAGUGCGCUUUUCACAAUGAAGCAAGAAAAAAUACUGUUUUCAAAAUUAGGAAUAUAUGCUAUAUCCAUUGAGCCUCUAUUGACUGGUGACGGUGACCUUUCUUUUCAGGAAAACAAAGACAUUUUUGAGUCCGUAAAUCUUAUAUCGGAAUAACACAAAGAUUUAAAGCAAUCAAUUAACAUUUUAAAUUUCUACUUUACAACCCUUCACUCCAGUCCAGUUUUUCAUUAUUAUUCUUUAUUAUAUUGUAUUUUGUUUUCUUUUUAUUUCUAAUUUUCGUUUGUAGUAUAUAUUACAUGCAUUCUACUAUGUUUUUUCGUCAUAAUCUAAUGUACUUUGUGUUUAUAUUUAUAUUGGGAAAGGACACCUCUAAUGUUGUUAUAACUUGUGUCCAAUCCCUUUUGCUACUUUUGAAAAUAAAAUAUGUUUAAACUGAAUAAUCUGAACCGAGUACCAGUACUGCAUUUGGUCGUUCGUAUGAGGACUAACACUGAAAACGUUGCCUACAGAUGCAUCACUCAUAAACAUUCAACAAUAACUAUCAUGGAAUAUAAUGCAAUGUGAACUUCAAAAUUAUGAUUCAGAUUUGCAUUCUAGAAUAUUCAAAUUGUGACCUCCAAUGUGCUGAUGUAUAAGUCAAAGCAGCAAUUUCACAAACGCCGCAAUAUCGGCAAGAACCCACUUCUCCUAGUUGUCGAAUAUUUUUGACAGUCUAGUCAUAAACUUGAUUCUUAUAGGUUGCAUAUCUGAAAAUAUCUGCAAUGCAAUUACACAUAGGAACCCCUUUUACAGCAAACACUGUACCACUUUUAUUAUGCAGUUUUGAAAAAAAUAUAAAUCCUAGAAUGGAAGUUCAAAGGCACUACUAUUUUUUCAAAGGUCAAAAUAUAGGGCUGUGCGGCAUAUUUUUAACGUUUAUAUACCCCGAAAUUCUAAGAGUUUGAACUUACAAUAAAAUUCUAUACUAGUACCCUUACCUUGACUUUAGGAGUUCCACUGAUUGCAAUAUGAAUGAUAUGAAUUCAUGCACAUUUACUGGUAGCAUUCCCAAGUCAUGUCUCUACGAGUUAAAACAUAGACAUCAUUACUGGGAAGUACGUACAGUAAACACAAUUAUUCGUCAUAUAUCUCCACAAAAGAGGCGUGGUUUUAGAAACAGCUGUAUUUAUAAAGUGCAACCCUUAACGUCAUGGAAGUCUUUGUGAUUGAACAAAAUAUUCCAAUGCUGGCAGUGGCGUAGCCAGGGUUAAAUAGAUGUGGAUGCUAAACUGAAAAAAUUUUGGGCCCAUUUUAUGCAGAAAAAGUUAUUUUUCGGAUGAUUUUCCCUGUAUGCAUGAGUACUCCCCUAGAAUCAGAAACUGGCUAAAUUUUUGUUUAAUUCCAAAAUACCUACCAAUAUAUAUAUUUCGAAAAAGAUUUUAUUCUUUUCUCGAAACUGCCUUCAUUUAAUUCAGAAAUAUUUGAUGAAAGAGUUUCACACCAAAUCUUAUAUUUGACAUCUCAAAAACGGACCCAUUACAGCGGCACUUAUUUAUUUAUGGAACUUCGAAAUAUAGGAAGCGGAAUUUGAUCCAACCCAUGGGUUGUUUGAUUACUUGUCUUAACGCGUUAUACAGGGUUCAUGGAAAUAUCGGGCGUCCGUCCUGUCUUGUUAACGCUGUAAUGUGUGUACAAUUCUUGCAAGGUUUGUGUGAAACUUAUAUCAGAAAUGUCUUUGACAUUAACUAAAAUAAGUCCUGAUUAAAUAUUUUUAACCAAUUAUAUAUAUAUGCCCCGUGGAAACAUAAAAUGACAAUGGAAAUCCUAUUCCGCUUGCUAGAUGAAGCUUUUAUUUCUCUUGAGCAUGUUGAAUUUAAAUAAAUGUAAAGAAAAAAGUGUUUUUUAGUUAUUGCCCUUGUAUCUUGGAUAUAUAAAAUAUGUGCAAUGCGGGAACAUUGAAACUCUGUUAUUUUAUUGAAAAUAAAAUUGAAUAUUUGAACCUAAACAGAAAUGGGUAUUUAUCACACUCCAUUACAGUAAAUACUAGUAGAGUUUUUAUAUCGUCGUCUUUCAUGUCACAGGAAACCAUAUCGGGAUAUGAUUGUUUAGUUGUUAACUCGUAAUCUUGCUAUGUCAUCGCUUUGCUUGACUCAAUUUUAGACUGAACAAGUCUGCAGGUCUGUGUAUCAUCACCAUCUGCGCUUGCCGCAGCCGACUGCGCGUUACGACGUAAACUUUUACGAAAAAGUCGAAAGCACUUUUCUGCAAUUUAUCCAUCUUGUUUAUAUAAUCUAAACGAUCCUAAAGGAAAAACCAUGCAUACUGCUUCGGAAAUGAUUGGACGCUGUUCUCAUAUCCUCACCAUUGAUACAUUCGGAUACCUCCGUGUGUAUCUGCUGUGAACACAUGCAAUCAUAUAAUUUAUUUUUUGUCAACAUGAUGUGGAUGCUUGAGCAUCUGAGCAUACAUGCAAGCUUCGCCACUGGCUGCCCAGCAGCGAGAGUUUCUAGAACAUUUCUAAAUAAGGGAUAAUCAAAUAGAAUUGAACAUACAUUUGUAAUUCAUCCAAACGGCGUCCUUUGGAAGUACUUGCAGUUUGAUUGAGACGCUCAUCUGAAAUUAUAUAAAUAUAUUUACAUUUACCACUACAUUUUGAAAUUUAUGAUAUAUUAAGUUAAUACACAGCAACGUCUAUAUGGAAGAGCAUUGCCCGACAGGUUACUGGACAGUAAAACACUUGCCAAAGUGGGUUGUCCGUUUUUGGCUGUGCGGGAUGUACGCAACCACGGUCAGAAUGAUGACGUCAAAUUUUAUGCUUCUUAUAAAAACCCACCACGUUUUCUGUAACUCAAGAUUCUUUGAAACAACCGGCAGUCUUUUAUGAGUCCGUAGAUGGCUAAUUGCAAUGCAGAUUUCUGUCCCUAUCUACAUGCUAAUUUGUCAUAAUUUCCCCCGAUAUUCAUCCCUGAUGGUCUCUAUUACAUGACAUACCUACUGUAUUGUUAAUCUGUGCUUGUCCUGAACAUGCAUGCAAUAUUUGCCACCGGACGUUAAGCAACCAGCAAUCAAUCAAUUAAUACGGUUUUGAGUUUUGAUUUGCUUGAUGGGGUAUUUAAUUUUAGAUUUUAUCAAUAGUUAAAGAUUUACCUGUAUUAUAGAGCUAUUUUAAACAUGAUCAACACAUAUAAUUGUAUACGUUUGACACCUUUCUAAAGCCGAAAUAUUUGUCAAUACGAUUUUAUAAGAAUAUAAACUCGUCGUAAUUACCAAUGUAUAAUUAUAUCGUACCCGAUCUUUUGAAUUAUACAUAAUUAUAUGAAAAAUGCUCCGUUGCUGCGCAGACGACCAGGAACAUAUACAAGUUUCUAUAUAGCUGGUCUUUUUAUAGAUUUUAUACUUUAAUAUUAUCAUGCUUAUGUAUUUAUCAUGUUUAUAGCUGAAAGAAUAUCUGAUAAAAUGUAAGUUUUUCAUUCGUCUUUAGUUUAAUUUGAUCAUAAGAAUUCGUUUUUUCCCUACAUAUAUUAUUGUUUUAUAUAUACCAAAUUGUAACAAAUCAAAUUAUAUAUUUUCAAUAAAAAACGUGAAGUGUUGUACGCACCUCUAUCAAAACCCCAAAGUAAACUUCUUUAGUUUUGGUUUAUACUUCCUAAUAGUAAUUCAGAAUGAAAGGGUAGCGAAACAAAAAUGUUAUUUUAGGCAUAAUUAUUUCCAAUUUUUACAUUUUAACAACGCCAGCCAUGUUUGAACCCGAGACUUAUGCCAACGGUCUACACAAUGAACAUGGGUGUGUUUUAUUAUCGUCCACGGUCAAAAUAACAACUGCUGGACCAUGUGGUCAUCAGUAUGGUGGCAAUACUACACACAUGUCUCAUUGAUUAAUAAUAGUGCUUCAUGGUGCAUGGAAUAAUGGGUCUUCCGCUAUGUAUUUAGGCGUUUUCUUACAAUUUAUCUAAUCAUAAAUCAUUCAAUCAAUAAUUCAAUUAAAGGACUCAACAGUUAUUGGAAGGAAAAAACUUUAAAUAAAACUUGUAAUAUUAGAAAUAAUGUGAACUGUAUGAUAUCGUAUUGUAUUACAGGUUUUUGUUUAGUUUUAAUUGUGUUGAAUAAUAUAUAUGUUUUAAAUCCCUUUCUGGCUUUUUGGAUGAUCAGACUUUUUCUCUUGGUUUAGAGCGAGCAACAGAACUUGUACAUCUUAUACAGUUUUCUGAUCUUAAGGUGUGAGCCAAGGCUCCGUAAUGAAGACCGUACCUAGACCUAUAAUAGUUUACUUUGAUAAAUUGUGACUUGGAUGGAGAGUUAUCUCAUUGGCACUCAUUCCACAUCUUCCUAUAUCUAUAUGAUAAGAAAAAUAUUAAAUAAUUCUGUCCAUUGCAAAUUAUCUUUUUUUUUGUGUUCAAUGUCAAUGUUAACAAUUUUGAAGUAUGAAUUAUCUACAUUCUCUUUUUUCAAAUUGUAUUUUAAUGUAAUGCAACGUUAAAUUCUUGUAUAUAAUUUUUUUGUUGGCAUGAAACCAAAAUAUAUUUGUUCUGUUAUAUGGAAUAAUCUCUCCUACCUUUAUAAAAGACCUGGAUCUGUUGAAAGGUUUUGCCUUUUCCAGAAUUUGCCAUUGUUACAUCAAGAAAUAAGGCUACCAAUAUUCAUGCCUGAUGAUCAUUGAUGUCAUAUAUAGAAAGAACCCAUUUCUUUGCAGACCAUAGAAGAAAAACAAAGAUAGUUGGUAACAUACAUGUAUUGUGUAAAAAUACCAAGAGAAACAUUCCCAUACAUAAUCUUUGUCAAUAAGUUAUUUCUUCACUCUUAACAGUCAAAUCUUAAACAUGUAUAUUGAUCGGCAAGCCUCGCAUCUUGAACACAAAAAUGUCUAGAGAAGAAAACGUCUGUUUCACAAUCGAUGCUGUGUUAGAAUGCAUAAUAUCACGUUCCCCCACAUAUGAUCAGCAUACAAAGUGACAAAGAAUCUACAUGUUGAAUAAAUCUCAUAUCUGAUGCAACAUUUUCGCUUCACCAGAGUAAACACUUUCUAUUUUAUAUAUUUUAUACAUUUAUAAAUUGAAUUAAUUAAAGUGUAAUUUUAGAGUCAAAUUAAUAUUUAAAAACUGUUCUUUAAACAACCUACAUGUACAAGCACCGAGUUUAUUUUCAUAACGUAUCCUUCCAUCUAUCAGAAGGGUGUUUUUUGUAUAUUUUUUUUUUAUCUUAAUUGGUGUUUGAAAAUUAAAAAUGUAUAGCAAUUUAUAAAUCCAAGUUUCAGAGAAAUGUAAGUUAUCUAUAAUUUUCUCUUCUUAUAAUUACUUUAAAAAAAAUCCAUAUUCAACCAGUCCACAAAUAUUUUAAUGUUACACGAGUAAAGGAACAUGAAAUAUGGAACAGUUAUACAAGACAGUGUAUAAUUACAGUCAUUAAUUUUACUCCAAUUUACUGUUGUGAACUUGCAAUUUCCUACAAUGCGUACACAUAGUUAUCUCUCUUUGAUCUCCACUUUACGAUAGUCUCGAUUACCCAGACGCAUAUUUAAAUAUAGCUAUACUUCGAAAAAUAAAGUGGCUGGAUGAUCGAGACUACACUUUACGAUGGAAUAAUGUGACACAAUUUUGUAUCCGGUAACUUUCAGAUCGAUUAUAAUUAAAAUCAAAUACCCCAAUGUCUAUAAAUAGGCAUGUAUUUAUAAAAAGAGGGAGAAACAGGAUGUCACCUAUGAACAAAGGCAUUUGACAAAGUCAGUCAUAGUCUCCUGGGGCCUGUUCAUCAAAACUAUCCUAAGUUCCGUCCUAAGAAUUUCUUAGAAUUUCUUAGGACAGAAUUUAGGAUAAAGUUAAGACCGACUAACCCGUCUCAGCAUGCACAUCGAAGCUACAAUGUAUCUUAGGAACAUCUUAGCUAGGAUGUCCUAACCGAUGUCCUAAGUAUUGGCGGAAAAGAAAAUACAAAUUAAAUAUGAAAAAAUUAAAAUAUGAUAUCAUAUAUAUUUUAUUAAUAAUUUGGUUUUUAAAAUAUAAUUAUUAGUUUUAAAUUAAAGAUGAUAAAUAAUUAUCGUAUAAUAUUUGUACAUUAAACUGUAUAUAAAACAAAACAAAAAUAAUAACUACGUAUUAUAUAAAAAUUAAACAAACUAAUUGUAUAUCAUCAUAUAUCAUUAAAUCGGUAAAAAAUAUUUAAUGAUUUUGAGUAAGUUGAAUACGAAGUGUCAAGGCUUCAUUCUUUAACAGUUCAAAGGCAAAUCUCGUGCAUUUUUCAUAUUAAUACGGAGAAUUUCAACUAUUGAAGAUGGAUUGCCAGCUUCUUAUCCCACCGAACGCAAGCAGUAGUAGUGGACGGAGAGAGCUCAUCGCAUAUUGAUGUAGAAUCUGGAGCUCCCCAAGGCUCUGUACUUGGUCCUGCAUUAUUCUUGAUAAACAUCAACAACAUGCCAGAUGGGGUCAAAUCCACUGUCCGCCUAUUUGCUGAUGACACAAUAGCAUAUCUUACCAUCUCGUCUGACACAGAUUCAAACGACCUCCAAAGCGACCUGGCCAAACUGCGAACAUGGGAAGUCAAAUGGAAAAUGUCUUUCCAUCCGGACAAAUGCAACGUUCUUAACAUCAGCCGCAAAAACAACACCAUUCCAACAUCGUACACAUUGCAUGGCCACAAACUUGAACCUGUCAAAAGUGCUAAAUACCUUGGUUGCACCUUCAAAUCCGAACUGAAGUGGAAUUAUCAUAUCAAUAAUAUAUGUAAUAAAGCCAAUAGUACGGGACCAGUAUGAGACCCAUACUUUAAAACCGAAAUAGAUCGUCUAGAAAUGGUCCAGAGACGAGCAGCAAGAUAUGUUUCCAACAAACACCAUAAUCACUCAAGUGUCAGCAAAAUGAUUGAGCACCUGGAAUGGCCAUCUCUGGAAAAAAAGGCGAAAAGACGCUAGACUAACUAUGCUCUAUAAAAUAUAAUACAACAAAGUGGCUGUAACUAAGGAAGGUCGUUUUAUGCAACCAACACGACUGUCGAGAAACACGCACGACAAAAGUUUCCAAAUAACAGCAUCCAGAAGUGUUUACAGGAAAUACUCAUCCGAGAACGAUCAGGGAUUGGAACGCUCUCCCUCCUGGGGUAGCAUCAGCACUGUCAGUCGAGGUCUUUAAAGUAUCGCUGACAAAGCUGAACAAAAUUAUCAAAUUCGGGGGUCUGUAUACGCACCUAAGUCAUGGCAUAAUAAUUAACUCGUUGAUUGUGGCCAUUAUCAGACAGAAGCAGAAGCAGAAGCAAGUACAUUUUCUGUAGAUCAAAGGAUGUUGGCAUUCAAGGAUAAACCUAAAGUAAUCAAAUUUGCGAUACAUGUAUUUUAACAAUAUUUUUUACUAGUAUAAUAUAUUGUACUCCUUGAGAUUAUUAUUACACAUUGAACGCUUUGGUCGAUAAGACAUACCUAUAGCACAAAGCGAUUAAAAGCAUUAUAUUUACCUUGUAAAACUAAUAAAAUGGUCAGUGAUAUUUAUCUACUCGUUUUUAAAGGCUUAUAUAUAAUCCUACAAAAUCUAUACAAAGUGACAGUGGUGAUAAUGGCACUUUCAUUACGUUUACUUUUAUUCGUCUUGAUAAUUUCAUUUUCAAGUUUGAUUAUAUGUCCGUUAUGGUCUCCUUUUACUGUAGCAUAUAUAUUUUUUGUUGGUUUUUGGUUCAAUUCAGUUAUUUCGUCCAAUCAGAAUGAAUAUUUAUGACAUCAUGCAUGCCGUUACCAUAGUGAAGCGUCCCUUUCAAAUGGGUCACACACCGAAAUUCGCGUCUGGCGCAAACACAAAGUUUCAAUCCUGGUAUAUUUGAUGACUUUAUGUCCAAAAAAGAAAUUUACAGAAAACUUAAUUUUCUCUAAAACUUAAACUUAUAAAUUGCUCAGUAUUCAUUGUAUAUUCUCAAACACCAUGUCUCUCUACACAAUGAUUUUCUUUUACCUGUGGAAAGUAUUUUGUUUGACGGCAUUUUGUUCAAGAUUUAGAUUAUUAUAAUAUGUACAUGGCGGCAUUUUUAUCAAGCAAGGACAUGGUUGACUUUCUGAAAUUGUUUAUUAUCUCAACCCUUAUUUUAUUGAUUUUGUAUUUACAUUGUGUCAUGGAUAAAAUGUAAUCAUUCAGUAUAUAUUCACUUGUUUGUUUUCAUAUGUCUUUUGAUUGAGUUAAGCCAUUUCAAUUGAUAUUUUAUGGUAAAUUUACAUGUAUGUCUUUCUAUGUUGUUAUGCUACACUAUAAGUUUAGGUAAGGGUGAAGGUUGGUACGUAUUAAAACGUUUAAACCCACUGUAAUUGUUUGCACCUGUCCUAAGUCAGGAACCUGAUGUUUAGUGGUUGUUGUUUGUUAUUUUGGUACAUAAAUGUUUCCCGGUUCUUGUUUUUUAAUAUAAUAGAUUCGACCGUUGGUUUUCCCGUUUGAAUGGUUUUAACACUAGUCAAAUUUUCGGGCCCUUUAUAGCUUGCUGUUCGGUGUGAACCAAGGCUCCGUGUUGAAGACUGUACUCUGACCUAUAACGGUUUACUUUAAUAAAUUAUUCAGUGUGGUUUUUCACAAAAUAUGAAUUAUUGUAACCCAAAACAAGAAAUUUGUAUCUACGAUUCCCAUUUUUAUAGAAAAAGCUCUGUUUAAAAAGAUGGUGAAGUCUAUCUUUCAACAGAGCAUUGGGAAUAGUAGUGUAAAGCGUAGAAAAUCAAAAGUCUUUAUGUUGCUGCAAAAUUGCAAAGAUUGUGAUCGAAGAUUAAGCAGUAGAUCUUUCGAAUUUGUGAUAAUCCACAUCUGGUUAACACCACUGGUAGAAUAUAUCUCAUCGCAAUAUUUUUAAAGCCCAUAUUUAACUGUAGAAAGAAUAGUAGUCAAUACUUUAGAAAGAUGUUUAGUCGAACAUUUUGAUGACCCAGUUAUGUAUCGUUCUUUAUAUGGAGUUUUGUGAAGUUUUGGUAUCCAGUAUAAUGACGGUAAAUUUUCUUCGUUUUCUUUGAAGUUGAUACCAAAAGAGAGAAGGACAAAUUUGUGAUUUUGUAAAAUUUCGUCUUUGAUAAAUGAUGUUAAAGAAUAUGUAGGAUUAGCAGUAGUUCUAUUUAUUCCAAGCUCUGCUGUGAGACAUUGCAAAUAAUGGUUUGUACAUAUGAGGACAAUAUUAUUGGAGGCUUUAUCUGCUGGAACAACGACAUAUGUGCCAUGCAAAGAGGAUAAAGCAUCUACAAUAUCUGGAUUUUUGAAAGGGUUAGUUACUGUAACUCUUGUGCUCAUAGUACACUGUAGUUUUUAAAUGCGCUUCUGAAUGCAUGAUCGCAUUAUAGCUUUGAUUCAUUCAGACAAAGUGUCCAGUUCUGGUUUGUCUGGUUCGCGCUUUACCCAUUUUCUUGCAUAGUCCUCAAAUGCAUCCAUCAGUAACCUGAAGUUCCUUUUUCAGUUGAUGGACUGGGGAAUUCUAUAUUUUGGUCCCUUGGCUAACAACUCUCUUAGGUGUUCAUUGGUAACGAUGUCAAGGUCGCCAGUAAUAACAUAACCAGCUGGACUAUAAUUGUAUUGCGACGAUGCACAUGAGCAAUUCGGAGGCUUGGAUUUCCCAUCUUUGAGGUUAAAAGCCUCUAAAACCUCUCUGCUACAGUGGUGCAACAGCACUGCGUGUGCAUAGGAACAAUUUGAAACUACACAAAUCAGUUGCAAAAGGUUUAACUAAAUAGAUUGGUACAAACCACUAAAACAACUAAAUUAAAAACAAUAAAAAAACCACUGAAAUCUGAGUAUUUUUAUACAGAUGACAAAAGUAUAAACCGCUAUGUUUGAAUACAGCUAAAAUCCUUUUCUUUUUUCCCCAAUUAUCCGAAGAAUGCACCAGACGCAAAUUUCUAACCAAGGACAAUAAUUGAAGUUUUAUAAUUAUAUAUGUAAAUGUUAUUACAAAAACGUGCAACAUUUGCAAUUUUGUUUCAGACGGGUUUUAGCAGCGACAGGUAAAACUUCAUGUCAAUAGAAAAUUUCGGUUAAGGAUUAUAUACUUUUAUAUUAUAUAUGUUCUUUCCAUGCCAUUACUCGUUUUUUUUUUAAAUUGCAGAGGGUAUGUACCGCUGCUGGUAAACUUUCGUUCCUGAAGGAUAUGGGAAUUUGGACUACAUCACAUUAUAUCGUUCGUUACGUAAACUGGAAUCCGCUUGUAUUUUCAACAAAGUGUAGUAGUCAGCUGGGAACUUUAAUAAAAACGUAGUAUUUAUCACGGCAGCUUCUGGAAUACAUACUGAUAAAUGUGUAUAAUUAUGAAAUUACAAAACAUAUUACUUUAAAUAUAAGAAAGUUUUUUAUGUUUUUUUUCAGUUAGAGAACAAGAAUUUUACCUAUAAAAAUUGAAAACAACUGAGAAAGAUUACAGAAGAUGAAAUAUAUCCUGUCAAUAUUGAUACUUGUUAUUUCUAUGACAACCAAGACAACUGAAAGUUGUGAAA